AAGUGUUACAACAGCUCUUUUAGAAUUUGUCUAGCAGGUUUUUUGGUCCUCACCAGAAGACCCAA
rnacentral:snRNA from 1 species